rnacentral:rRNA from 1 species
UAAGAUUAAAUUAUUUAAGUUUUUUGUUUGUUUAUUAAGUUUAAUAAAAUUAAUUUUAAAAUUGAGAGUUUAAGUAUUUUAUAAAGAAAAAAUAAUUUUAAUGAUAGUUGAUUAGUAUUGUAAAAGAAAUUUUAAAUAUUUUGAAAAUAUUUUAAAUUAAAAGAAAAUGUGAUUUAUUGUACCUUGUGUAUCAGGGCUUAUUAAUUAAAAAAUAAAGAUUUACUAUUCCCGAAUUUAAAAGAAUUAAUAAAUUAUGUUAGUUAACGUAUUAAAGUUAUUAAUAAUAAUUUAUUGGAAAUGAAAUGUUAAUCGUUUUUAAAUAUAUCUGGUUUUCUAAGAAAUAAAUUUAAUUUAGUUAAUUGUUAAUAAUUUUUUAUUUUUAAAAUUGAAUUAGUGGCAAUUAAAAAUGUUUUAAGGGAUAAGCUUUAAAAUAUAAUUUUAAUCUUAGAAUCUGUAGGCUUAGAAAUAGUCAUUAGUUAAAAAAAUGUUAUAAUUUAUUUAAGGGUAAAAAUAAUUUUUUAUUAAUUUAAUUAUUUAUUAGAAUAAAUUUAAUAAUAAAAAUAAAUUUGUGAUAAUGAUAAAAUUAGUAUAAAUAAUUGUAAAAAGUAAUUUAAUAAGAAAGGUUUAAUUAAGGAACUCGGCAAAUAAAUACUCGCCUGUUUAACAAAAACAUGUCUUUUUGAAAAUAAUUUAAGGUCUAAUCUGCCCACUGAUUUUAUUGAAGGGCCGCGGUAUUUUGACCGUGCAAAGGUAGCAUAAUCAUUAGUCUUUUAAUUGAGGGCUAGAAUGAAUGAUUGAACGAAGUAUUAACUGUCUCAAUUAAAAUGAAAAUAGAAUUUAUCUUUUAAGUUAAAAGACUUAAAUAAAUUUAAAGGACGAGAAGACCCUAUAGAGCUUUAUAUUUUAAAAAUAAUUUAUGUAUAGAAAAAUUUAAAUUUUAUUUGUAAAAGUAUUUUGUUGGGGUGACAAGAAGAUUUAAUAAACUCUUUUUAUUUAUAAAACAAUGAUUUUUGAAAAAUUGAUCCAUUUGUAGUGAUUAUAAGAUUAAGUUACCUUAGGGAUAACAGCGUAAUCUUUUUUGAGAGUUCUUAUCGACAAGAAGGGUUGCGACCUCGAUGUUGGAUUAAGGGUAAUUUUUAGGCGGAGAAGUUUAAAGUUUAGGUCUGUUCGACCUUUGAAUCCUUACAUGAUCUGAGUUCAGACCGGCGUAAGCCAGGUUGGUUUCUAUCUUUAAUAAAAUAAAAUAUUUUAGUACGAAAGGACCAAAUAUUUAAGAUAACUCUUUAUUUAUUGAUUAAAAUUAAUAA